rnacentral:rRNA from 1 species
AACGAACGCUGGCGGCAUGCCUAACACAUGCAAGUCGAACGAGACCUUCGGGUCUAGUGGCGCACGGGUGCGUAACGCGUGGGAACCUGCCCUUAGGUUCGGAAUAACUCCCCGAAAGGGGUGCUAAUACCGGAUAAUGUCUUCGGACCAAAGAUUUAUCGCCUUUGGAUGGGCCCGCGUUGGAUUAGCUAGUUGGUAGGGUAAAAGCCUACCAAGGCGACGAUCCAUAGCUGGUCUGAGAGGAUGAUCAGCCACACUGGGACUGAGACACGGCCCAGACGCCUACGGGAGGCAGCAGUGGGGAAUAAUGGACAAUGGGCGAAAGCCUGAUCCAGCAAUGCCGCGUGAGUGAUGAAGGCCUUAGGGUUGUAAAGCUCUUUUACCCGGGAUGAUAAUGACAGAACCGGGAGAAUAAGCUCCGGCUAACUCCGU